GGAGAGGUGCCGGAGCGGCUGAACGGGCCGGUCUCGAAAACCGGUUGGCCCGCGAGGGUCACGUGGGUUCGAAUCCCACCCUCUCCG
rnacentral:tRNA from 1 species